UUGGAGAAUGCCCUGCUUCACAUGCAUGUUAAUGGAAAUGACAAUGAAAGCCUUUUUCAGGGGAUUGCGGAGGUUCAGAAACCUAUGAACUCCUUUUUCUUGGAAUGAGUAUUCUUGUAUAAACCAGUGCCUUCUGCUGAGGGUUAAUCCAGUGCAGAAACAGCUUCAUCUUGUUAUCCAAGCGAACUUCUGGAGCUUCUGGAAGGAUGGCACUCUUAUGCCAGUGAAUGCUCUUUGGAUUUCUCGGUACCCAGAUCCUGACUCUGCUCAAAAGAUGCACUAGAUGUGGACAAAGCCUCUAGGCAAGAGGAGCCCUGUGAUGGCCCCAGUGAAGUCAGGGAGAUCAGGCUGUUCUCAUUCACCAGCAAUUGCUGAAUCUCCAGAGCCAUAGCAUUGCAGAUUUGGCAGCAGGGAUCUGCACACAGGAUUCGCCGCACACUUCCUUCCUGAGGAAGCCAGCCCUGACUGGGAAGAGAAACAUGACAAACAUUAGUGAUAGAGUGACAUCUGGCUUCUCAGAAGAGUGUGGGACAGGGUUGGCACUGUCCUUUCCUAGACCUGAAAAUCCUGGGGCCUACACUCUCUUAUUGUCUAUCUCUCUGCUUUUCUUCCUAAGAAAAUGCCAUUUGGAGGCCAGA